rnacentral:misc_RNA from 1 species
GAACUGCGAUAAGUAAUGUGAAUUGCAGAAUUCAGUGAAUCAUCGAGUCUUUGAACGCACAUUGCGCCCCCUGGCACUCCGGGGGGCAUGCCUGUCCGAGCGUCAUUGCUGCCCUUCAAGCCCGGCUUGUGUGUUGGGCCGUCGUCCCCCCCGGGGGACGGGCCCGAAAGGCAGCGGCGGCACCGCGUCCGGUCCUCGAGCGUAUGGGGCAUCGUCACCCGCUCGAUCAGGGCCGGCCGGGCGCCCGCCGGCGUCCCCCAACCAUCUUCAGGUUGACCUCGGAUCAGGUAGGGAUACCCGCUGAACUUAA